rnacentral:lncRNA from 1 species
CCGUGGGUGGCCACGCUGAGGUCGAAGAGGCCCAGUGGGAAUUGCUUCCCAGCCGAAUGCGCAGAGAGCAGAGAUGGAGCUGGGAGCCGUGGGAAGGUGAGGCCAGUGGUGAAGCCGGGAAGGCCUGCCCACGAAGCCCUCCCUGCGCCCUGCAUGGCGGAGCAGCGAGUGACCUUUCCAAGUGGGAAGAGGCUGACGUGUCCGCGACUCUCUUCACUCCUCAAGGCCUUCCUUUCAAAUGCCACAUCCUUUACCAAGCCUUCCCCGGGCUCGGCCAAGCUGGAAAGAUUCCCCCCUGCCUCCAAAAGCCAAUAGCCCUCGAUGUGGGCCUCUCUGGUGGCAUUUCCCAAUUUCUGCUUUAGGUCUUUUCUCUUUCCCACCAAUGGACCCUGGGUUGGUACCACCAUGCUGCCCACCUCUAGGCAACACCCUUUACUUUGGGAGCGCUCCUGUGCUCUCUUAUUCCCAAAUCACUAUGAUGCCCCCCCCCCAUCCCCUUGCUCCGGCAUUGCGGUACUGUUUGGAGAAGUAUUGCAAAGUCCCUCUGGUCAUAGAUGAUGGAGGAAACUUUCCCAGCAUUUUGGUGCAUGGAACUCAGGCACAAUCCCUGGAAAUUCUGUCUUAAGACUCAAAUAAGCAGCUUAGAAUGGGAUCGCCAAUUCAAACAGAGUCAAGUAUAAAGGAAGAGCCGCCAAUGCUUAAUACCGUUGACGUCAGCCAUGAUGGGAGUCAACAAGAGAAGGUAUGGAAUCCAGAAGAAGGAGCCUAACUAAGGUAAUCCUUAAGCCCAGGGAAGCUCUACAGGCAAGUACAAGAAUCAGAGGUGGCUUUUUCCCAUAGCAGGUGGCAAGAGUGUGUUCGAUUUAAAGGGACAGUACUGUAAAAUCAACCACAAUAAGAGCCAGCAACUUCAUUGAAUUUCCGCCAAUCCGACGCACCCAAGUGAGACUUCGAUUUGAAAGUGAGUGAAGAGACAGGUGUGGAUCAUCCGUUGUACUGAGAAAAGUCAUGGCAGCAGCUUUCUAGACACGACAGAGGUAAUGGGUUCUGCUCUCUAUUCCAUACGCAUAAUUAUUUCUGGAAAUGUAGCCUAAAACCUGUUGUAC